AAAUAGAACUUUGCAGAGAGAGUUAAGAGGGCGUGACCGUUAAUUGAGAAACGAAUCGGAGCCACGAAGUCGUUUCGUUGUUUAGUGGGGCCAAGUUCAGUUUGUGAGCAAAACUCAUGGGCGUAUUCUUGUGUCCUGCCAAACCUUGUAAGCGUACACUGCAACCAGUUAGACGAUUGGUUAUGAGCCCAGUUGUGCAUCUAGGUAACUAGAAGUAUAGCGACGCAUUUGUUUGCUCGGGUUAGUAGUAGCGUUGUGCAUUUCGGUGCAUUUAUGUUGCUGGGCCCGUGGCAAGUGAAUUAUAACCAAAUACUGACUGGCAAAAUGAAAAUCGCAUUUUAUGCGUAAUACAAAAUGCAGCUAGUUGCAUUGAUGUCUACACAUUAGACUAUUGGGUUUAAGCUCGGCAUUUUUGAAUUCAGACUUGCUUGCUACCAGUGGGGCAACUCCUGGUGCUUGUUUAGCUUCUGUCUAAUCGGGUGUCGACUUGACUCUGUACGUUCUGGUGUGAAACGAUUGGAUGUUAAUGUAAGCUGGUUCGCAAUAAUUGGCAGUGAGUAGGUCGGCUUUCCGAACGACCCGUCUUGAAACACGGACCAAGGAGUCUAAUUAGGCAUCGAGUCGAUCGGUCUUGAUAGGCCAGACUGAUGGGAGCAAUCCUGUCGAAUGAAGGCGUAGAGAAAUCAAAUCGUGUGAUCAUGUUAGCAACAACAGCUUUCAUGCGCAACAUGUGCCUGUUCGUAUAGCAAUGUUGCAAAACUUGCUGAGCGGAGCAAAGAGAUACCUGAUUGGUACCCGAAAGAUGGUGAACUAUGCCUGGGCAAAUUGAAGCCAGAGGAAACUCUGGUGGAGGAUUGUAGCGAUUCUGACGUGCAAAUCGAUCGUCAGACCUGGGUAUAGGGGCGAAAGACUAAUCGAACCAUC
rnacentral:rRNA from 1 species